UAAUUCCUAAAUGAGAUCUAGAUAUGCAAGGUGGGAUUCCUGGAGGGGUUGUAUUUACUUAUUCUCAUAAACGCAUAUUGACCCAUGUAAUAUUGAAAAUCCAUCACGCGGGACAUAUUAGUGCAGAUCGAAUACUUUUACUCGAAGUAUUUUGCUGAGAACACGUCUGAGCUUUUACUAAAGUAGUGGGGCUCUGAAUGCAUGUCUUUUACUUGUAGUGGAGUAUUUGUACACAGACGUAUUGGUACUAUGACGGAAGUAAAGGGCCUGCAUACUUCCUACAUCCACCGUCUCUGGCUGUGAUUGUCAGUCAUUGAUGUUGUUAGCUGAUAGCUGACUUAGCUAUAUCAGCGUCGGUCGCCAUGGUGACUGGGGAGAGACGGUGCAAGCGUCAGGAAAAUGACCUGUGGUGUUUAACAAACCAGAGGUUGAAACACGGUGCUCGUCUUUCACACUCGCUUUUCACUGCAGGGGAAGGAUGUCGCUGCAACAUGGGGGAUGAAGAGGAAUUUGCACCUGGGCCACUUUGAAGCAGGUGGCAGCGAGUGUCAGGAGGGCUCCCUCUGCUGGUGACAAUGACAACCUGCUCUUACAGGAAAAAAAGGUGAUGUGGAAAGAUGAGAUGAUCACAACAUAAUAGCGAUGCCGGGAAGAGGUGUCACCACUUCAUCCACGAUCAGUCUUUGUACAAUGAAGUAGUUCUUUGAAACCAGCACUGAGGCCUCCAGGACUCAAACUUCAACCACAGAGAGAAGAGACAGAUGUGAAGACAUUUCCAGAAGGGCUUCAGCUGCUGUCGUCUUCUCCUCCUGCAGAGACAAGAACACGUGUUAAUCACAGAAACUGAUCAUUAAAUCUAUUUUGCCUUUCCUAAACUGUCCUUAUUCAUACCUAAUUGCCAAGAAAUGUCAGCUUAGUUCAAAUCAUUGUAGGUUUUGAUGCCCUUUUAUACUACAACAUUAUUCACAGUUGUUAUGCCCUACUAUAUGAUGACUUUCAAAAGACAAAGGAGCUGUCUUAAAGCAGCCAUCUUACCUUUGUUUUCCACAGACAUUCACGCACUCACAUCUACACCGUGUUUGGGGGUUAUGUAAGAUUUUGUGUUUGUCAUUUAAUUUAGGUAUUUGCUAUUUCAAAUAUCAGUUCUCAAAUCCAGUCUAUUGCUGUGUACAUAGUUCUGUUUAAUUUGUUCAUGUUGUUUACAAUUUUUAUAUAUUGUCUUGCCUUAUAUCUUGUCUUGUUCAUAUACCUUUUUCUAUUUUUGCUGCUGCAACACUGAAUUUCCCCACUGUGGGACUAAUUCAGGAUUACUGUACUGUUUGUCAAAUAAAUACUUCUGAAC